GGGGAGUUUGCAACUCAAAGUCAAAGUCCCCUUCCAUCCCGUGAAAACUCCUAAUCCUAUCGCUGAUCUUUUGGCGGAGAGAGGCCAAAACCCAUUGUUACGCUCCCUAGAAAGCCCCGCCCCCGGGAAGGAGUGGAGAGCGGAAGUGACGACACCGCGCGUCCCAUUAAAUAGCCAUAGGCGGGCCGCGGGCCCUCUCUCGGCCUUAGCGCCAUCUUCCCGGAAGCCUCCGCGCCAUGAGAGCCAAGUGGAGGAAGAAGCGAAUGCGCAGGCUGAAGCGCAAAAGAAGAAAGAUGAGGCAGAGGUCCAAGUAAACUAGUAACACCCAUGAAGCCACAGAAACAGAAGUAAGGAAAGCCGGAGGCCAGGGACGCUGGUACAAAUUGUUGGACUGCAUGCUACUGUCUAGAACUUUGUCUCAGUGAAUCUAGAACAUCCAUCACCAUCUGGUCGCUGCGAACACCUUUGAGAGACCCACCGUGCUCGUACCAAAACCAGUCCCUUUUGGUCCUUUGCCCUGGACCUGUGACAUUCUGGACUAGUUCUGUUCUCAGUUGGCUGAAUGUAACACGUGCACAAUAAACCAUCCCUUCUGCUGUCUUGGCUGAAGAAAAAAAUUAUCCUGUCUGUU